AACCACCUAAGCAAUUUACACUUUCUCCUGGACAUGAAUCCAUACAACAUAUUUUCUUGUUUGGUUCCAUCGUUGUUUUCACUUGUCAGAAAGUCACUGAAUUGUUAGCUCUAAUUUCCCCUGAGACAGGGUUAGGAAAUGGAGGACAAUCUCCUUCCUGGCAAAAUAAAAAAGCAGGCACAACUUUUCAUGUUAGCAUGAUGCAUAUGUAACAUCCUCUUCACAAGAAGAGAGAAACUUACCAGUACAGCUGAAACAUGUCUGUCUCGGGGCAUAUUCGUAGGGUUACCCAAAGCUGAAAUAAGGUCAGUAUCUUCAGCAAGGUUUCUGAGUCUGUCGAGUUCUGGUAGGACAACCUUGCCAAGAUCAGGUCUGUCUCUGCGCCUUAAUUCAGCACACUGCACUCCCAACUUAGCAAACGUCAAGGCCUCCUCUUGUGGCCAAUCAGAGAGUGAUGGAUCCAACAUCUCAGAUAAAGUUCCUUUCUCAAUGGCCCUUGCAACAUGAUGGGUCAAACCCAUAGGAUCUAUGUAGCAGAAGGUUCCGGCUGCGGAUGUCAUGUGAUACUGCGUGACAGAGUCUGCCACAGAUGGUGGAACUAGCCUGGCCAAACCUACAUCACUGAUUUUGGACACAAAGUUUCUGUCAAGCAAGAUGUUGGCUGGUUUCAAGUCCCUGUGCACCAGAGGUUCUGGUUUUGUCUGGUGCAGGAACAGCAAGCCUGUGCCAAUCUCCGCUGCUAUCUUGAAUCUUAGCUGCCAAGGCAGUGGGGGAGUGUUGCCUUGUCGAAAGAGGCGAUCUUCCAAGCUACCAUUUGCCAUAUACUCAUACACUAGACAUCCAUAUUCUGGACAUGCUCCUAGGAGUAGAACCAUGUGUGGAUGCCGUAUGCAGCUCAAUACCUCAACCUGUAAUGUGCAUUACAUGGUUUAAGAAAUAGCUUUGUUUUCACAUAUAAUAACAAAAAUAUGUAUAGUUUAACCUGUAAUCCAGGAGAUAUAAGAUUGACUUAGUGGUAAAAUUGGAAAGGAAAGUGAGAGAAGUUGUGGUUUCAACUCUUGCUACUAAUACUUGGAAAAUAUAAGACUGGUUUGACAGGUUUGGAAGAAAA